CAUCCCCCAUCCACUUUUCCUUAAUGCUGCGCAGCCCUAGCCUCUUCACCCUCUUCCCUGCGCAGUAAACACGCACAAUAGUCUCCCUUCGCCAUGAAAGAAAGAAAAAGAAGCAAAAAGGGAGAGAGAUACAGAGAGUUACGACAGAGGAGAGGAGGAGGGGAGCUCACCGCAUCGCCGUCGUCCUCAACGCGUUGCGCCGCCGCUGCAGUCCAUACCGCCAGUGUCACUGUCACCGAGCCUCCUUGCCGUCGCCACUGAAGCCGCCCUCGCUGAUUUGUCUCCCACCGUUGGAGGCGCGAGCCAAGGUUGCCUCCGAGGGAGAAGAUGCGAUUGGAGAAGCCGCAAUGAGUCCUUGGUUGCCAUCGCGCCAAACCCAGAAGUGGCCACCGUCGCUGCAGAGUAGCUCGCCUGCCAACAGUGCCCCGCCACCGUGUCCAGUUCACCGCCACCACCGCGCCGUCUGCGCUGUCGCCAGGGAGAGCAGAACCGAGAAGAAGGUUGGUUCCCGAGUGAGGGUGGUCACGGAAAUGGAGCUGCCGCGCCUUUGUCGCCACCGCAUCUACGCCGCGUCACCGCUGCCGUUCUCACCGCCGCCGUCCCUAUUGUGGCUGGUGUCAUCGCCGGAAAAUCACCAUCGCUGGAGAGAGGAAGGGCCAGAGAAGGAGGACGAGACAUGUGAUAAGGGUGACGCACAGAGGAGAAACCGUUUCUGUUCUUUCAAAAUUUCUGAAAGGUUUCUGACGCCGUGUGGUUGUUACAGUCAUCAUCAUCGGUGUUUUACAUUGCCGCUGUCACUUGAGGUUAUUGACAGAGCCGCUGCCGGGUUGAUUUGGAGUUACGGCUGCUUCGUUUUGUGAAUUCAGUGAGUAUUUCUGUUUCGAAAGCCCUGCGUUAGUGUUCUAUUCCGUGUAAUAAAGUAUUUGUGAUAUUAAUGGUUUUAGGAGUUAGAAUCCGAUUUGCUUGUGUCGUCUGUAACUGUUUCUGCUUUUGAGAGAGCAAGCAGAACCGAGGUUUUGAUUGCCGGUGAUUUCGGGUUGAGACGAAAAGAACUCUGUGAGGCGUUUGGGCUAUGGUUUUGCAUAUUGAGGAUUCUGUUGGACCGUGGUGAUUGGUUGUUGUUUGGACUGUUUGGGCCUAGGGCCGUGGUUGAUCAUGAGGUGGGCCGGAAGCCAUGUUGGUGGAUGUUUCUUGUUUGAAAAAGUAUGAAAAACUAAUUUAGAUCAGUAUAGAUAAAUCUUUUGAAAGGCUUUUGAAUUUUCAAGAAAUGAACAAUUCCUCUUUUAGAAAAGAUUUCAGAUUUUUCUCUUACAGUAAACCAUUGCUUUUGAAAAGAUGCAUAUGGCGAUUAUUAAUCACUGUAACAAUUUUAUCUCGCGUAUCCUAUUAUAGUAAUUCUGUAACUCUAUAGUGAGAACCUUUUCGAUGAUGAUGUU